GACGAACGCUGGCGGCGUGCCUAAUACAUGCAAGUCGAACGCUUUUUCUUUCACCGGAGCUUGCUCCACCGAAAGAAAAAGAGUGGCGAACGGGUGAGUAACACGUGGGUAACCUGCCCAUCAGAAGGGGAUAACACUUGGAAACAGGUGCUAAUACCGUAUAACACUAUUUUCCGCAUGGAAGAAAGUUGAAAGGCGCUUUUGCGUCACUGAUGGAUGGACCCGCGGUGCAUUAGCUAGUUGGUGAGGUAACGGCUCACCAAGGCAACGAUGCAUAGCCGACCUGAGAGGGUGAGCGGCCACACUGGGACUGAGACACGGCCAAGACUCCGACGGGAGGCAGCAGUAGGGAAUCUUCGGCAAUGGACGAAAGUCUGACCGAGCAACGCCGCGUGAGUGAAGAAGGUUUUCGGAUCGUAAAACUCUGUUGUUAGAGAAGAACAAGGAUGAGAGUAAAACGUUCAUCCCUUGACGGUAUCUAACCAGAAAGCCACGGCUAACUACGUGCCAGCAGCCGCCGUAA
rnacentral:rRNA from 1 species